CUUUAACAUCAGUGUCACGGAGUUCAGCUGAACUCAAUUUAAAAGGCUGAAGCAGCUCUCUAAAGUCUCAUGUCCCUCUCUCCUGUUGCAGAAACCAAUCUCAGUUUGCUAAAACCUCCCCCACCCCCACCCUGAAGCCUCAGCAGGGUCAGUGGGCUGUGACUGAGAAAGAAAGAGCAGAAGGCAUAUCUACGGGACCUCUGUCCCUGGCCUGCUUCUGUUACCAGGCAGUAAGGGGAGGCAGGCAGAAGAGCCUCCCAACAGCCUUCUCAUUAGACCAUGGAGUCAGAGAGACUAACAGAGGGGCAGUGGGCAUAGGGCCUCAUUUCUGUCCCUUCCUGUACACCAGCUCUUCAGAGGUUUCUGUGUGACUUAGUCUCUGGAUAGGUGCUUAAGCCCUGUGCAGGCAGUGGGGUUUCUGCUAACCCAUGAAGACUCAAGCUGGAAGGAAGGAGGUUAGACAGGAAGAAGGACUUCCUGGCAGAGAAGGAUGGAGAGCCACGGCAGGUGGUACUUUCUCGGUGGGCAGACAGAACUCUCCAAGGGGAAAAAGGAAGGCUUUUCCCGAGACCAGGGUGGGGCCGUAAGACAGCUUCCCAGAGGGCAAGUGUCACCAGGGGGCUUUUGCCUUUGUCUCCAGCUGCCCCAAGCCUUCUCCCACCUCAUAAUGAAUGAAGGCACAGCUGUUAGUUGGGGGCCAUGCGAGGUCAGUGUGUGGCUGAGAUAAAGACAGGGAAAAGAGGGGGGUGCUCCAAUCCCCUAAUCUUUCUCUUGCCUCCCCAGGAGCAGAAUCGAGAGAGUUCUGGGGCUCCCUGAGCCCCUGGGAAAUAGAGUCCUCUGAGAACUCCCUGGCAUUCCCGGGAGAACAGGUUCCUGGCCCUGGGAGGGGUCUUGAGGGAGAGAGACAUCCCUGGGCCUCUGGGGGAGUCUGCCCUGAGCUCAGCAUCAUGUUCUGGCUGCAGCACCUGUUUGCCACCUGUCUGCUUCUCCACCAGCUGCAUCCUCUCUGUGGCCCAGGCCUCCCCGCAGGCCCAGGCAUCUAGACCCCAGCUGAGACUGCUCAGAGAUGUUAAGUGAU